GAGGGUAUAGCUCAGUGGUAGAGAGUGUGCUUAGUAUGCAUGAGGUCCUGGGUUCAAUUCCCAGUACUUCCA
rnacentral:tRNA from 1 species